rnacentral:snRNA from 1 species
AUCUUUGCGCUUGGGGCAAUGACGCAGCUAAUGAGGUACUAACCGAGGCGCGUCUAUUGCUGGUUGAAAACUAUUUCCAAACCCCCUCCUGGGCCUAAGCUUGUCUUGGGCCUUCGAGAAUUUCUGGAAGGGCUCCCUUCGGGGUAAAGCU